GCUCGGCAGCUGCGGCGGCGGCUGGUGUAGGCGCUCACGUCAGGGCUGGGAGGAGGGGGUUCGCAGCUCAGAGAGAGAGAGACAUGAGGCAACCUGGCAGGAAGCGAGAAAGAGUUCGGCGAAGAAGGAGUGAGUUCUAGAGACGCCCCGCGAGCAGGACCCGCGCCUGCCGGAGAGCCUGGCCGACCCGGCUCCUCGCCUUCUCUGCGCGCUCUCCCGCGUCCGCUUUCAGCACCCCGAGCGGAGAACAGUUCCCGGGAGCCCGCAGCGCUGCCGAGUGGCCGCCGGCCGGCCGAGUACCCGGAGCUCCAGGGGGCUCAGGAGCACCCUCUGAGAACCCGCUGUGCACCCACCUUUUCCCCUCUUUUGGUGGGCAAGUAAGCACGGGGGAAAAGCAUCCGGUGGCCUCAGGGAGCCCUGAAGAAACCGAAGCAGAAUGUACCAGGGACACAUGCAGUAAAGAACAAGGAUAUGGAAAACUAAGCAGUGAUGAAGACCUCGAAAUAAUUGUUGAUCAAAAGCAGGUAGUAGGUGUAACCUUGAAGAAAAAGUGGCACUGUCUUCAAAAAAGUGACCUGACCCUGGCU
rnacentral:sRNA from 1 species